UAAAUUCACCUUUCCAAAAACGUUCUUAGGCCAGUUUGCUUCCUCAGUUGAGCGAUGUCCACCACAUACACCAAAUGCUGGAAUCCCCAAAGCUUCAGCUCUCUGUAGUAAAUCUACUCGCUUAUUUGAUCCUCCAAACACUCUAGAUUGUGGUUUGACCCUGGACAACAUUAACAGUAAUCUUACUGGAGCUACUCAAGCCGAUGUCCUCUUAUUAGCCUCCAGUACCCAGAUCCUCACAUCCAUACCGGAACGGCUAACAGCCCACAACAUCACAAAUGCUGUUAAUAUAGCCAACAUUCUGCUCUCCCGUGAUGAAAGUGAACAAAGCACGGAAAUUGCAGUGUCAGCAGUCGCUACAGUCAGUCAGCUCCUGAGCGCAAGUCAUGGGAUGUACUCCUCUGUCGACCAAGAUGCAAUAAAUGAGUAACAAAACAAUUCACACUCAAUGCA